AGUGAACGCUGGCGGUAGGCCUAACACAUGCAAGUCGAACGGCAGCACAGUGAGAGCUUGCUCUUACGGGUGGCGAGUGGUGGACGGGUGAGGGAUGCAUCGGAAUCUACUUUUUAGUGUGGGUUAAAGUAGGGAAAAUUACGCUAAUACCGCAUACGAUCUACGGGUGAAAGCCGGGGAUCUUCGGACCUUGCGCGAUUGCAUGAGCCGAUUUCGGAUUAGCUAGUUGGCGGGGUAAUGGCCCACCAAGGCGACGAGCCGUAGCUGGUCUGAAAGGAAGGUCAGCUAGACUGGAAGUGAGAGACAGUCCAGACUCCGAGGGGGAGAAGCAGUGGAGAAUAUUGGGCGAUGGGCCCGAGCGUGAUCCAGCCAUACCGCGGGGGUGAAGAAGCAGCUCGGGUUGGUAAGCCCUGAUGUUGUGAAAGAAAUGCAGCACGUUAAUACCCCGCUGUUCUGACGGUACCCAAAGAAUAAGCACCGGCUAACUUCGUG
rnacentral:rRNA from 1 species